UACGAAGGGGGCUAGCGUUGCUCGGAUUGACUGGGCGUAAAGGGCGCGUAGGCGGUUCGUACAGUCAGACGUGAAAUUCCUGGGCUCAACCUGGGGACUGCGCUUGAUACGGCUGUGCUAGAGGAUGGAAGAGGCUCGCGGAAUUCCCAGUGUAGAGGUGAAAUUCGUAGAUAUUGGGAAGAACACCGGUGGCGAAGGCGGCGAGCUGGUCCAUUACUGACGCUGAGGCGCGACAGCGUGGGGAGCAAACAGG
rnacentral:rRNA from 1 species